AGCAGCCGCGGUAAUUCCAGCUCCAAUAGCGUAUAUUAAAGUUGUUGCAGUUAAAAGCUCGUAGUUGAAUUUCGGGGUUAGCAGGUCGGUCGUGCCAUCGGUAUGAACUGGUCUCGCUGAUCCCUCCCUCUUGACGAACUGUGAUGCCAUUAAUUUGGUGUCGCAGGGAAUCAGGACUGUUACUUUGAAAAAUUAGAGUGUUUAAAGCAGGCUCACGCUUGAAUACAUUAGCAUGGAAUAAUGAAAUAGGACGUUUGAUCCUAUUUUGUUGGCUUCUAGGAUUGACGUAAUGAUUAAUAGGGAUAGUUGGGGGCAUUAGUAUUCAAUUGUCAGAGGUGAAAUUCUUGGAUUUAUUGAAGACUAACUACUGCGAAAGCAUUUGCCAAGGAUGUUUUCAUUAAUCAAGAACGAAAGUUAGGGAUGAAGACGAUCAGAUACCGUCGUAGUCUUAACCAUAAACUAUGCCGACUAGGGAUCGGAUGAUGUUAAUUUUUUAGUGUACUA
rnacentral:misc_RNA from 1 species